GAUGAACGCUGGCGGCGUGCCUAAUACAUGCAAGUCGAGCGAACGGACGAGAAGCUUGCUUCUCUGAUGUUAGCGGCGGACGGGUGAGUAACACGUGGAUAACCUACCUAUAAGACUGGGAUAACUUCGGGAAACCGGAGCUAAUACCGGAUAAUAUUUUGAACCGCAUGGUUCAAAUGUGAAAGACGGUCUUGCUGUCACUUAUAGAUGGAUCCGCGCUGCAUUAGCUAGUUGGUAAGGUAACGGCUUACCAAGGCAACGAUGCAUAGCCGACCUGAGAGGGUGAUCGGCCAAACUGGAACUGAGACACGGUCCAGACUCCUACGGGAGGCAGCAGUAGGGAAUCUUCCGCAAUGGGCGAAAGCCUGACGGAGCAACGCCGCGUGAGUGAUGAAGGUCUUCGGAUCGUAAAACUCUGUUAUUAGGGAAGAAUAUAUGUGUAAGUAACUGUGCACAUCUUGACGGUACCUAAUCAGAAAGCCACGGCUAACUACGUG
rnacentral:rRNA from 1 species